UACGUAGGGUGCAAGCGUUGUCCGGAAUUACUGGGCGUAAAGAGCUCGUAGGCGGUUUGUCGCGUCGUCUGUGAAAACUCGAGGCUCAACCUCGAGCUUGCAGGCGAUACGGGCAGACUUGAGUACUGCAGGGGAGACUGGAAUUCCUGGUGUAGCGGUGAAAUGCGCAGAUAUCAGGAGGAACACCGGUGGCGAAGGCGGUUCUCUGGGCAUGACCUGACGCUGAGGAGCGAAAGUGUGGGGAGCGAACAGG
rnacentral:rRNA from 1 species